UGGUGGAGUGAUUUGUCUGGUUAAUUCCGUUAACGAACGAGACCUCAGCCUGCUAACUAGUUUUGCUAAUCUUUGAUUAGUAAAACUUCUUAGAGGGACUAUCGGUUACUAGCCGGUGGAAGUUUGAGGCAAUAACA
rnacentral:rRNA from 1 species